GGCCCCAUCGUCUAACGGUUAGGACAUUGCCCUUUCAAGGCGAAAAUCCGGGUUCGAUUCCCGGUGGGGUCACCA
rnacentral:tRNA from 1 species